GCUCAACCGCAAGACCAUGGCGGAGAGGUGCCGCAUCGGGGUGGAAGUUUCGGACGGGAGGAGCUCCGACGCGUUUGUGAAGCGGGAGGAGAUUGCUGAGGCCAUUGCGAGGAUCUUUAGCGACAAAGCUCGAAAGGCGAGAGCGAGGGAAUUCAGAGGCAGCGGCGUCGGGUGGUGGCUCUCGGAAUAACCUGAUGCUGUUCACAGACUUGCUGAUGUUUGCUCCCGGCCAAUGGGAGGCGGCCAAGCCGCGUGGGGCGGGAGAAGAAGGCACAGCGACACGUGUGCCAGUGGUGUCCUGCCCCCGUGCCCGUUCUUCUUAGCUCGCCCUGGAUGCCCUGUCGCAAUUGAGCUAACGCUUGCUUGCCGGAUCAGUGGCAAUCGCAGCAAUUGCGCUUCUUCCCGCAAAGGUCUGUGUUCACCGUCGGCUGGGCAGCCGCUAAUUUGGCCCCUAACCCCAACAAUCUGGAUUUUUGUGUGCUGUGAAAAUUUGAAACGUCUUCAUUUGGGUUUGUGGAUGCUAUCCAGUGGCAGAGCUGAAGCCAGAGCCAGCCUUCACAGCCAGAACCAUCAGAUGUGAGAGAGAACAAGCCCAAGUGUAAGAAGAAGGCGAGUUCUGGCUUUUACUUAGAAUCUCUGAAAAUUUUAAGAUAAGUGCUUUGACACUAGAUAGGUUAUUUCAUCUCAUUUAUCAUCCCUAGCAAAUAUGCCUCGGCUUCGCGAAGUAUUAAGAGGCAUACGUCACCAUUUGCCUCCAACUAUUGACACUAGCACAUAUAAUCAUAUUCACAACAACCUUGCAUAUGGUAAUGAAGAAACUAAUCUAGACCUUGAACAUGCUAAUGCAAAAAUUACUUCAAAUCUUGACAAUGCUAAUACAAACAUAGCAUAUGCUGAUGAAGGCCAUACAAAUAUAAACCUUGAAAAUGCUAAUGAAACUAAUACAAAUACAUGUAAUCAUCACAGUUA